UACGUAGGUGGCAAGCGUUGUCCGGAUUUACUGGGCGUAAAGGGCGUGCAGGCGGUCUGUUAAGUGCAGGGUGAAAGCUCCCGGCUCAACUGGGAGAGGUCCUUGCAUACUGGCGGACUUGAGGGGGGUAGAGGAAAGUGGAAUUCCCGGUGUAGUGGUGAUAUGCGUAGAUAUCGGGAGGAACACCUGUGGCGAAGGCGGCACUCUGGGCCGAUACUGACACUGAGGAGCGAAAGCGUGGGGAGCGAACAGG
rnacentral:rRNA from 1 species